rnacentral:rRNA from 1 species
GACGAACGCUGGCGGCGUGCUUAACACAUGCAAGUCGAACGGAAAGGCCCUUCUUUUGUUGGGUGCUCGAGUGGCGAACGGGUGAGUAACACGUGAGUAACCUGCCCCUUACUUUGGGAUAACUUCAGGUAACUCGGGUUAAUAACGUAUAGGAGUUCCUGCUGCAUGGUGGGGGUUGGAAAGUUCCGGUGGUUGGGGACGGACUGGCGGCUUUCAAGCUUGUGGGGGGGGUAUCGGCUUACCAAGGCUCGGACGGGUGGCCGGCCAGAGAGGUUGACCGGCCACAUUGGGACUGGGAUACGGCCCAGACUCCUACGGGGGGCAGCAGUGGGGAUAAUUGAACAAUGGGCGAAGCCCUGAGGCAGCACCGCCGCGUGGGGAUUAACGGCCUUGGGGUGGAAAACGGUUUUCGCCUGGAACGAGGCGUGUGUGACGGUAAUGGGUAAAGAAGCACCGGCUAACUACGUG